UCAGGAUGAACGCUAGCUACAGGCUUAACACAUGCAAGUCGAGGGGCGAGCAGGACGAUAGCUUGCUAUGUUGCUGGCGACCGGCGCACGGGUGAGUAACGCGUAUCCAACUUCCCCUUAGUAGGGCAUAGCCCGUAGAAAUGCGGAUUAAUACCCUAUGUUGUUCGAUGCGGACAUCUAAGUUGAACCAAAGGUUUACCGCUAAGGGAUGGGGAUGCGUCUGAUUAGGCAGCAGGCGGGGUAACGGCCCACCUGGCCUACGAUCAGUAGGGGUUCUGAGAGGAAGGUCCCCCACAUUGGAACUGAGACACGGUCCAAACUCCUACGGGAGGCAGCAGUGAGGAAUAUUGGUCAAUGGGCGCGAGCCUGAACCAGCCAAGUAGCGUGCCAGGACGACGGCCCUAUGGGUUGUAAACUGCUUUUUAUGCGGGGAUAAAGUGCGGCACGUGUGCCGUUUUGUAGGUACCGCAUGAAUAAGGACCGGCUAAUUCCGUGCCAGCCGCUGC
rnacentral:rRNA from 1 species